AUCGCCCCCAUCAUGGCAGCCCCUCCGCCGCCCAAACAACCACCCCACUACUGCCGACCACUACCGCAUCGCCCCACUCCAAAGCGGCGCAGCCAACCACCUGAUUGACGCGGAGCACCACCAUCGUCGCCGAGCUACUCCACCGGCGGCUACCAUCCUCCAUGGAAGGACUUCCUAGCCACCAACCUGCUCGCGCGCUUCCUCCCCGAGCAGGCCUCCCCGCAAGCUUCAUCGGGCACCAAGCUGCGGGUCCGCCUCCUCCACACGCCCCCGAAGCAGCAGACCGUCGACAUCCUUUCCCUGGACAUUGCUACCUCUUUGACAGGUGAGAUUUCGUUGUAAUUUCGUUACCUUUUUUUUGUUCUGAAUGUGCAGCUACGCAAUGUGUAGAAGUGUAAUAGUGUUGAAAAGUAGCAGCACUGAACUAUUCGGCAGUUAGUAAAAAUCAUCCUUUUUAAUUGGUUUGGUCUAAUAACAGCAAAAACCAUGAGCCAGACACGUUUGAAGGUUCUUUACUUAUCUAAAAACGAACACUACUACUAUUAGUACCCCUUCAGAUCAAAGGACAGGGACCAUUGGUGAUUAAUAAUUGCAUACCUUAAUUAGAUUUGUUGGCACCUGACUAAAUUGUUUAGUUGAGCUUUGGAGUUCAUUUUAAUUUGAGAUGAAAGAAAGCUAAUUAUUUUAAGUAUGUGUUUGUUUAGUUGAUGCCCCAAAGUAGUACAUCCAUUUUAUUGUACUGGAGUAUACAGAGAAGUGGAUUAUUAUGUUCGGUCUGGUGUAUGAAGAGAGAUGGGGAUUAUUGUUAUUCACUUCAGUUAGGAAUACCUGAACAUUUUAGUGCUAAUACUGUUAUUCCAGUAUAGGACUAAUUUGACAAUGACCAAAUUUGUGGCCAUACACUCUGCAUUCUCAACAUCAUGGUACUCCAAUUCUAUGAGAACUAAUUUGUGGCCAUACACUAAGGUUCUAGGAGUAUAACACCAGGGUAGUUUCUCUACAUACACCGGCAAGCUCCAAUUCUAGGAGGACUAAUUUGAACUUUGAAUGAGUUUAACAAAACAAACUAGCAUGAGUAUAAAUUGCUGAGAAAUAUACUCCUUGUACUUGUAAACUUGCAAGUUUACAUGUCUGGUUAGCAUUCUUUCUUAAACAUGGAUGCCUAGUUGUGUUCUAAAGGGUAUAAGGCCAUAGCUUGGAAUGGAUGUAUCUCCGAUGCGGAGGUGUAUAUAACUUCACGUGUAACUUACUGGCCGCUGUGUGAAUUCCAGCCGGAAGUGAAACGACGCGCUUAGGCAUGUAUUUUUUGCAACGGUAUUUAAAAGAGAAAAUAUUAUCCAAACAGGGCCUAAAAUGCAAUGCUAUCGCGAGUAGUUUGGUACAAAUACUACUCCCGUAUUGCUUAGGAGUAUUUGUAGGGUUCUAGAGCAACCAGUAGAUGGCCUAUUAAUUUCUAUUGAUAUGGACAACAUCUUAUCUAGCCAAAGUUCCCUCCUUGCAAAAUCUGCUUGUAACACAGUUGACUAGAAAUCUGAAUUUAUUUAAAUAGUGUUGUUCACUAGAUAGAUUCUGUUUAGCACAAGUUGUGAUAGAUAUGGACUUGAUGCUAAUGAUUCACUAUUUCUAGGGUUCUAGAGUGCUAUGUGUACUGCCUAUAUGGUGGAGUAGUUGUAUCUUCUCUAGCCAAAUUUUGGGUGCUCCACAUAAGCCGCAAUUGAUAAAAUGUAAAGCCCACACAAAACAAGUACCUAUAGUUCCAUCUUCCAUGCACUAGCCUAGCUAACUCAAUGCAGGGUAGUACAGUGGUGCCUCAUAAUGUCACUCCAUUGUCCAUGGAGGCAUUUUCAUUGCCCCAGUGCAUGUAGAUGCAGGGGCAGGAGGGAAAUAUGCAAAAGCUCCUUUUAACCAACUGUAAGGCAGUGUGCAAUGCAAUACAUGCAUUAGUUAGUGGAUGAGGGCACAAGACCAGCUUCAGGGUUUAAGGCUUAAGCCAAGAGGAGAAAGAAAGGGCUCUGCAUAUGAAAAGAUACAAUCAUUAUUGUUUCCAUGUAAUUUGGUAAUAUAUGUGGCAUCUGUUUGUUCAUCUUUUCUGCAAGAGCAACUUGUGUCCUGAGCUAGUGGUACUGACACCCAUAAAAUGAAACUGUCUUCUUGCAUGAUCACUUACUGAAAAUAGGGACAAUCAGCUUUACUUCUGAGUACUUAGAAGUAGUUUAAGUUAUAUCUAAGUUAUUAUUGGUACUGUUACAAUGUGCUUGUAUUCUAUCCAAGUUUAUUGCUAACUCUAUAUGUGCUUCUCUGCACCUAUGCUUGCCUGUAUAUCUAUUUGCUUUAUGGACAUGACAAUUGCAACGCUCACACAAGCUGGAACAGAGUAAGGAUGUGGCACUUCAUCGCAACAAAGUAAGGAUGUGGCACUUCAUCGCAACAAACUGGAACACACAAGGAAGUUGCAAUCACACAAAAAAAUCAUCAGAAAGGAAAGGAUGUCAUACUGUAUAAUGUUUAUCGAGACCAUGGUAGACCAGUGGAAAAAGCAACCAUUCUAUCAAUUGAUCGAAGAAAGGUGGUAGGUGGUUAGGAGCUUGGCCCUAAAUAUUGUGAGGUUGUCUUGAACUAAGUAAUAAAAAGGGAUGCUAUACUACUUUGUGGUGUUGGGAACGUGACCACCAUGGGGAAAGAUCAAGGGCGAUGUAGCAUGGCCAUACAAUCAUGUGACUUUUGUUCUUAUGAUUGAAUUUAACAAUGACUAUCAUGGUUGAUUGUUUACAGAGCUUUCUAUGUAUGAAGUUGGAACUUGGAAGUGGAAAAGCCCAUGGCAAAAGCAGGAAUGCGCCCGCAAGCAAGCAGAUGAGGUUUUGCUACAGAAGUUGACGGGGGUUUGGAAGAUCGUCAAGCUGCUGAAGAUUUGGAAGACCUACGAUUAAGUUGGUGUAGUGAUUAUGUAAUAUGCUUUGUUUGUUGAACCUGGACACUUGCUCUGCUCAUUUUGCUGGUUAAGCCACUAUAUGCUCA